rnacentral:rRNA from 1 species
CCCUUAGAUGUUCUGGGCCGCACGCGUGCUACACUGAGUAAUUCAAUGGGUAAGGGAACGCUAGAGCAUUACCUAAUCUUGAAAUUUGCUCGUGAUGGGGAUCGACGGUUGCAAUUUUCCGUCGUGAACGAGGAAUACCUUGUAGGCGCAUGCCAUCAUCAUGCGCCGAAUACGUCCCUGCCCUUUGUACACACCGCCCGUCGCUCCUACCGAUUGAGUGAUCCGGUGAGGCUCUGGGACCUGGACGGAAAGAGCGUUUCGCUUGUUCUGUUUGGGAAACUUGGUCGAACCUUAUCAUUUAGAGGAAGGAGAAGUCGUAACA